rnacentral:rRNA from 1 species
GAUGAACGCUGGCGGCGUGCCUAAUACAUGCAAGUCGAGCGAACGGACGAGAAGCUUGCUUCUCUGAUGUUAGCGGCGGACGGGUGAGUAACACGUGGAUAACCUACCUAUAAGACUGGGAUAACUUCGGGAAACCGGAGCUAAUACCGGCUAAUUUUUUGAACCGCAUGGUUCAAAAGUGUAAGACGGUCUUUCUGUUCCUUAUCUAUGGAUCUGCUCUGGAUUAGCUAGUUGGUAAGGUAACGGGUUACCAAGGCAACGAUGCAUAGCCGACCUUAGCGGGUGAUCGGCCACACUGGAACUGAGACGCGGUCCAGACUACUACGGGAGGCAGCAGUAGGGAAUCUUCCGCAAUGGGCGAAAGCCUGACGGAGCAACGCCGCGUGAGUGAUGAAGGUCUUCGGAUCGUAAAACUCUGUUAUGAGGGAAGAACAUAUGUGUAAGUAACUGUGCACAUCUUGACGGUACCUAAUCAGAAAGCCACGGCUAACUACGUG